AACGAACGCUGGCGGCAGGCUUAACACAUGCAAGUCGAACGAGAAUGUUCUUUCGGGAACAGGACAGUGGCGCACGGGUGAGUAACGCGUGGGUAUCUACCUGGAAGUGGGGAAUAACCAUUGGAAACGAUGGCUAAUACCGCAUACGCCUUUAGAGGGAAAGCUUUAGCGCUUUCAGAUGAGCCCGCGUUAGAUUAGCUAGUUGGUAGGGUAAAGGCCUACCAAGGCGACGAUCUAUAGCUGGUUUGAGAGGAUGAUCAGCCACACUGGGACUGAGACACGGCCCAG
rnacentral:rRNA from 1 species